rnacentral:rRNA from 1 species
GAUAAACACUUGCGGUGUGCCUUAUGCAUGCAAGUCGAACGGUCUUGAUUUAUCAAGGAUAGUGGCGAACGGGUGAGUAACGCGUAAGUAACCUGCCCUCAAGUAGGGGAUAACUCUGAGAAAUUAGAGCUAAUACCGUAGUGGUGGUAGGGGUAAUGCCCUAUUACUAAAGCCUUAGGGUGCUUGGGGAGGGGCUUGCGUCCGAUUAGCUAGUUGGUAGGGUAACGGCUUACCAAGGCGAUGAUCGGUAGCUGGUUUGAGAGGACGGCCAGCCACACUGGGACUGAGACACGGCCCAGACUCCUACGGGAGGCAGCAGCAAGGAAUAUUGUGCAAUGGGCGAAAGCCUGACACAGCGACACCGCGUGGGGGAUGAAGGCCUUCGGGGUCGUAAACCCCUUUUCUCAGGGAAGAAUAAUGACGGUACCUGAGGAAUAAGUCUCGGCUAACUACGUGCCAGCAGCCGCGGUAAGACGUAGGAGGCGAGUGUUAUCCGGAUUUACUGGGCGUAAAGAGGGCGUAGGCGGCUUUUCAAGUCGGAUGUAAAAUCUCCUGGCUUAACUAGGAGGGGUCAUUCGAUACUGUUAGGCUAGAGGGCAGCAGAGGGAGGUGGAAUUCCCGGUGUAGUGGUGAAAUGCGUAGAUAUCGGGAGGAACACCAGUGGCUAAAGCGGCCUCCUAGGCUGUUUCUGACGCUGAGGCCCGAAGGCGUGGGGAGCGAACAGGAUUAGAUACUCUGGUAGUCCACGCUGUAAACGAUGGAUACUAGGUAUGGGGGGUAUUGACCCCCUCCGUGCCGAAGCUAACGCGUUAAGUAUCCCGCCUGGGGACACGGCCGCAAGGCU